rnacentral:lncRNA from 1 species
UAAAAACAGCUUUAACCGGGACCACGCUCGUGGGAAUUGGCGUGUCGGUAAUCGCCUGAAUGAAAGGCAUUGGGAAAACACGAGGCGGCGUCGACGGUGCCACCUCUUCAGCGGAAGAACGAACCUGCUGCUCCUGAAGAGCUCGACGUAGCUCCUCAGCUACCUUGCUGAGCUCCUCGUUUCUGGCGCGAGAGGCGACCAGGUCUUCAUGUAUCCUUGCCUGCUCGACGCGCGAGGCUUCUACAGUGGCCUGCAAUGAGCGCAUCAUUUCUGCCAUCUGCGCCAUGGUCAUGGCGGCGUCGCCUUCAGCUGCGACGGGAGCCACGGGACUGGAACGAUUGCUUCUCAUCUUUCUCAU